UUUGUCAUGUGGUCCACACUCCUUACCAGUUGGUGGCGGUAAUGCUUACCUAAAGUUUCUUGCCAACCGCCAUUAAAUUUCAACUAGAAGAAGAAGAAGUUCAUUUUCAGCAACAAGACGAUCGAGGCUAGUUCUCUCAAGCUAACAUGCUAAUUUGUUGACAUUCUUAACAGCUAUUUGUUAAAGGAAGCCAGAAUGGAGCUACAAAGAGGUGAAAGCCAUACCCUACCCAGACCAGAUGGGCCCGUACUGACCAAAGGAACACUGGACGACACAGAGUACAAGGACAGGCCUGCAGUGGUGAACGGAUGGGGAAAGUUUUAUCUUCCCAAAACAACAAAGAUGGAGGUUAUUGGCUAUGUGGAGGGAACUUCGUACCCAUGUGACCAGCUUGUCYUGAUGACCUGUGAGGACCAGAAGGUGUAYGGCUUUGAUGGAGAGGAGCUGCAUCUGGUGRCUUUCAGGCUGCAUGAGAUGUUCACAGUGGGAAUAGCCGAUCCAGCACUCCAGAGUUAUUACCGUGGRGAGGCCUUCAAARACAUGGUGAGUGAUUGACUUUGAAUGUGUGAACAUUUAUYCUGAAUGCCAGUCUGGRAUCCCUAACAAUAUGUUUUAUGCUCAGACCAAAGAGGACUGGGAGAAGGUGAAGAAGGGCCCUGUGGGGACGAUGCUGAAUGAGGAGCAUCGUCAACUGGUGGCUUCUCACAAAUCUGCCAUCCUGCAGAGUCUCAGACAAAUACAGGAAUCAUGAGCCGAAUGAGAAGUUCCACCGCAACACCAUGACUGAGAUGUUGAUAAGUGGAAUGUGACAAGGUCUUGCCACUUGUGUGUCUAAAAAAAGUACUUCAAGUUAUUUUGUUUUGGUUGUUCAUCGGUAAGGACAAAAGAAUGAGGAUGGAAUUAGAAAAACCCUGCAGAAAGUUGUCAAAAAAUUGACAGAAAUUAAAGAGUCCACCAUCCAUGUCUCUGAUGGCAACAACAAACAUUCACUUCUUUAUCUGAAAGCACAAGAGAAUGAGGAUGAAAUUACAAAAACCCUGCAGAAAUUAGUUGAAGAGUUGAUGGGAAAGACUGCUCAUAAAGAGACCCAAAUCUGCGUCUCUCAUGGCAACAACACACCUUCAGUUGAUCGUCUGGAAGGAAAAGAGAGUAAGGAAGAAAUUAUAACAACCCUGCAGAAACAUGUCAAAGAGUUGAUGAAAAAUACUUCUAACGAUGCGUCAUAUUCCACCAUCUAUGUCUCUCAUGGAAACUGCACAGUUUCAUCUCACCAAAGACAAACCAACCUCUUGCAGACACUCGUCAAAGAGUUGAUGAUAAAGACUCUUCCAAAAGUGUUGUACUCCACCACCAUCUGUGUCUCUCAUGGCAAAAACAGUUAAAGUUGAUCGUCUGGAAGGAAAAGAGAGUGAGGAAGAAAUUAGAAAAAAACUGCAGGAACUCAGCGAAGAAUCAAAAAAUGGAUGCAUGGAUGGAUGCAAACAAUCGAAGCACGUAGAUUCACACAAAGAUAAACAAAUGACGGUAACAUGCUGAACAAUAUUGAGUCAUUUAUAACUAAUGUUCAACUGAGUGUCUUCAGAAAAUGCGCAUGUUGUGUUUGAGUAAUAAAAAUACAGCAGGCUGUGUGUUUUAAAUGUC